GACGAACGCUGGCGGCGUGCUUAACACAUGCAAGUCGAACGGAAAGGCCCUGCUUGCAGGGUGCUCGAGUGGCGAACGGGUGAGUAACACGUGGGUGAUCUGCCCCUUACUUUGGGAUAAGCCUGGGAAACUGGGUCUAAUACUGGAUAGGACCAUGCUGUAGGUGGUGUGGUGGAAAGAUUAGUUUCGGUAAGGGAUGAGCUCGCGGCCUAUCAGCUUGUUGGUGGGGUAAUGGCCUACCAAGGCGUCGACGGGUAGCCGGCCUGAGAGGGUGGACGGCCACAUUGGGACUGAGAUACGGCCCGGACUCCUACGGGAGGCAGCAGAGGGGAAUAUUGCACAAUGGGCGGAAGCCUGAUGCAGCGACGCCGCGUGGAGGAUGACGGCCUUCGGGUUGUAAGCUCCUUUCAGCCAUGACGAAGCCCUUGUGGUGACGGUAGUGGUAGAAGAAGCACCGGCUAACUACGUG
rnacentral:rRNA from 1 species